UUCGACCUGAGAUCAGACGAGAUUACCNGCUGAAUUUAAGCAUAUUACUAAGCGGAGGAAAAGAAACUAACAAGGAUUCCCCUAGUAACGGCGAGUGAAGCGGGAAKGCCCAGCACCGAAUCCCUCGGCCUUGGUCGGCGGGAACUGUGGUGUUUAGGACAGCCUUUGUCGGCGGUGCGGAGNGUYCGAGUCCUNCUGAUCGGGGCUUCAUCCAUAGCGGGUGUCASCUCUACGGCCCUCCGUCCGGUGNUUUGANCGUCCUUGGAGUCGNGUUGUUUGGGAAUGCAGCCCUAAGUGGGUGGNAAACUCCAUCUAAGGCUAAAUACCGACACGAGUCCGAUAG
rnacentral:rRNA from 1 species